CAUGCAAGUCGAACGAGAAUCUGUGGAACGAGGAUUCGUCCAAGUGAAGCAGAGGACAGUGGCGGACGGGUGAGUAACGCGUGAGGAACCUGCCUUUCAGAGGGGGACAACAGUUGGAAACGACUGCUAAUACCGCAUGACACAUUGAAGUCGCAUGGCUUUGAUGUCAAAGAUUUAUCGCUGAAAGAUGGCCUCGCGUCUGAUUAGCUAGUUGGUGAGGUAACGGCCCACCAAGGCGACGAUCAGUAGCCGGACUGAGAGGUUGAACGGCCACAUUGGGACUGAGAUACGGCCCAGACUCCUACGGGAGGCAGCAGUAGGGAAUAUUGGGCAAUGGGCGCAAGCCUGACCCAGCAACGCCGCGUGAAGGAAGAAGGCUUUCGGGUUGUAAACUUCUUUUGUCAGGGACGAGCAGAAGACGGUACCUGACGAAUAAGCCACGGCUAACUACGUGCCAGCAGCCGCGGUAAUACGUAGGUGGCAAGCGUUGUCCGGAUUUACUGGGUGUAAAGGGCGUGUAGCCGGGAGGGCAAGUCAGAUGUGAAAUCCACGGGCUCAACUCGUGAACUGCAUUUGAAACUACUCUUCUUGAGUAUCGGAGAGGCAAUCGGAAUUCCUAGU
rnacentral:rRNA from 1 species